rnacentral:RNase_P_RNA from 2 species
GGAGUAGGUAAGGUAAUCGCUGUUUGUUGGGUAAUAACCCGAUAAAUAGAGGAAAGUCCGGGCUCCGUAGAGUAGAAUGCUGGGUAACACCCAGUCAGGGUGACCUGAAGGAAAGUGCAACAGAGAAUAGUCUGCCAGAAUUAUUCUGGUGAUGGUGAAACGGUGAGGUAAGAGCUCACCAGUAGACAAGGUGACUUGUUUAGCUAGGCAAACCCCAUUUGGAGCAAGAUCAAAUAGGAGAAUGAAUGAGGAUUACUCGUCCCAGUUCUCGGGUUGAUCGCUUGAAGCAACAAGUAAUUGUUGUUCCAGAUAAAUGAUUACCCCCUUCAAGGGAUUGAAGGAGACAGAACCCGGCUUAAUACCUACUCUGUGU